GACGAACGCUGGCGGCGUGCUUAACACAUGCAAGUCGAACGGUAAGGCCCUUCGGGGUACACGAGUGGCGAACGGGUGAAUAACACGUGGGUGAUCUGCCCUGCACUUCGGGAUAAGCCUGGGAAACUGGGUCUAAUACCGGAUAGGACUCCGGACUGCAUGGUCUGGGGUGGAAAGCUUUUGCGGUGUGGGAUGGGCCCGCGGCCUAUCAGCUUGUUGGGUGGGUGAUGGUCUACCAAGGCGACGACGGGUAGCCGGCAUGAGAGGGUGACCGGCCACACUGGGACUGAGAUACGGCCCAGACUCCUACGGGAGGCAGCAGUGGGGAAUAUUGCACAAUGGGCGCAAGCCUGAUGCAGCGACGCCGCGUGAGGGAUGACGGCCUUCGGGUUGUAAACCUCUUUCAGCACAGACGAAGCGCAAGUGACGGUAUGUGCAGAAGAAGGACCGGCCAACUACGUGCCAGCCGCCGCCGUAA
rnacentral:rRNA from 1 species